rnacentral:snRNA from 1 species
AGCUUUGCGCAGGGGCAGUAUCGUAGCCAAUGAGGUUUAUCCGAGGCGCGAUUAUUGCUAAUUGAAAAUACAAAAUU